AGGGGUAUAGUGUCAACGGUAGCAUACCGGUCUCCAAAACCGUCGGUGCGGGUUCGAAUCCUGCUACCCCUGCCA
rnacentral:tRNA from 3 species